rnacentral:misc_RNA from 1 species
GAAAUGCGAUAAGUAAUGUGAAUUGCAGAAUUCAGUGAAUCAUCGAAUCUUUGAACGCACAUUGCGCCCGCCAGUAUUCUGGCGGGCAUGCCUGUUCGAGCGUCAUUACAACCCUCAGGCCCCCGGGCCUGGCGUUGGGGAUCGGCGGAAGCCCCCUGCGGGCACAACGCCGUCCCCCAAAUACAGUGGCGGUCCCGCCGCAGCUUCCAUUGCGUAGUAGCUAACACCUCGCAACUGGAGAGCGGCGCGGCCACGCCGUAAAACAACCAACUUCUGAAUGUUGACCUCGAAUCAGGUAGGAAUACCCGCUGAACUUAAGC